GGUAAAUUCCAGCUGAGGAGAUACCGAUUCAUUAUGGUGGUUUCAAGAGAGAGAUUGACACCAAGUUCUUCUUCGCUGAAGAUGGUUAUGUUUUUGAGCAACUCUCAAGGCCGUAUCAAAGCAAACCAUAGAAAUUGAUGCAGCUCAGGAGUACUCGCAGUAGCCCCCUAUUCAGGAACUAAUUGGAAGGGAUCUUCAUGAUAUAUAAUGAAUGGAAAUUCAGACAUAUUUCGAGGAGGCUUGCAACAACACUAGAGUAAUUGGUACAUGAAGUAGAUCGAGGAAGAUCCCUGCAAAGUUCAUCUUGAAGAAGCUAGAGGAAAAUAACUAACUUGUAAAGCUUAAUUAUCGAUCUUGUAAAUUUUGGUAGAAGCUUCAUUCAUUUUGUAACAUUUAUGAGGAAAUUUAAAGUGUAACAUUUCCUUUUAUAUAAGCUUCAUUCCUUUUUGUA